GCUGGCGGCGUGCCUAAUCAUGCAUCCAGCGGAGAGGAAAAGGAGCUUGCUCCCUUUCCUUAGCGGCGGACGGGUGAGUAACACGUGGGUAACCUGCCUGUAAGACUGGGAUAACUCCCGGAAACCGGGGCUAAUACCGGAUGGUUGUUUGAACCGCAUGGUUCAGACAUAAAAGGUGGCUUCGGCUACCACUUACAGAUGGACCCGCGGCGCAUUAGCUAGUUGGUGAGGUAACGGCUCACCAAGGCAACGAUGCGUAGCCGACCUGAGAGGGUGAUCGGCCACACUGGGACUGAGACACGGCCCAGACUCCUACGGGAGGCAGCAGUAGGGAAUCUUCCGCAAUGGACGAAAGUCUGACGGAGCAACGCCGCGUGAGUGAUGAAGGUUUUCGGAUCGUAAAGCUCUGUUGUUAGGGAAGAACAAGUGCCGUUCAAAUAGGGCGGCACCUUGACGGUACCUAACCAGAAAGCCACGGCUAACUACGUGCCAGCAGCCGCGGUAAUACGUAGGUGGCAAGCGUUGUCCGGAAUUAUUGGGCGUAAAGGGCUCGCAGGCGGUUUCUUAAGUCUGAUGUGAAAGCCCCCGGCUCAACCGGGGAGGGUCAUUGGAAACUGGGGAACUUGAGUGCAGAAAAGGAGAGUGGAAUUCCCGUGUAGCGGUGAAAUGCGUAGAGAUGUGGAAGGAACACCAGUGGCGAAGGCGACUCUCUGG
rnacentral:rRNA from 1 species